AUUGAACGCUGGCGGCAGGCUUAACACAUGCAAGUCGAACGAGUGGCGGACGGGUGAGUAAUGCUUGGGAAUCUAGCUUAUGGAGGGGGAUAACUACGGGAAACUGUAGCUAAUACCGCGUAACAUAGGAUGAGCCCAAGUGGGAUUAGGUAGUUGGUGAGGUAAAGGCUCACCACGCCGACGAUCUCUAGCUGGUCUGAGAGGAUGACGAGCCACCCGGGGACUGAGACACGGCCCAGACUCCUCCGGGAGGCAGCAUUGGGAAAUAUUGCGCAAUGGUGCCAACCUGUCGCAGCCAUCCCGCGGUAAUGAAGAAGGCCUUCGGGUUGUAAUGUUCUUUCGGUGGCGAGGCUUUAUCUACAGAAGAAGCACCGGCGAACUCCGUGCCAGCAGCCUCGGUAAUUC
rnacentral:rRNA from 1 species